rnacentral:rRNA from 1 species
AUGGAGUACGAGUACCAGUACAUCAGCGGCGGCGCCGGCAGCUUCGCCAAGGAGAAGAGGCCUCCGGCGAAGAGGGGCCAGGUCAAGCUCCAGAUGGUGAGGGCGCUGAGCAACCUCGUGUCUCCCAGCGGCGCUGCUGAUGGCUCCAAGCAAGCCAAUCGCAACAGCUUCAGAAGAGAAACAAGCUAG